rnacentral:lncRNA from 1 species
GUCUUUCAGAGCCAGGCCUGGGAAGAGGAGGCAAUGGAGGUAGACAUGGCUCUGGGGAAUGGGUUGCAGGGAGAGAAGGUAUCUACUCUGUGUCUAUAGCAGACAGGACUAAGCUUUGAUUUGGAGGACCCCCUCCGGCCCCUUACCUCCUCCACUCUUAGAGCCAGAAUUGAACCACGUGGUGUCUUGCAAAGGGAUCUCUUACAGAAUUGGAAGCAAGAAUAUGAAGGGGAAGCAGACCAUGGGCUUGUAUUUGUACAAUACAUGUAUCAGUAUGGCAAUUUCCAGGUUUGGCCACCUCCAUUAUUGCAUUUGAUCCUCAGUGACAUCCUGUGAGGCAUUAUUAUUCCCCUUUCACAGAUGAGAAGACUGAGUUUCCGUUAGAUCAUUUGCCUGAGGUGAGGUUGGGGGCCAGUCCCCGCCAGGUAGCACUGGUGUUUCAGCCCAGCCCUUUCCUCCUUGCAUAGCACUGCUGUCCUUAAGGCUUCUCCUCAGUUCUGCCAUGGCAGAUGGGGAUUGAGGUCCCAUAACUAGAGCAAAGGUUUGGGGGUCCUUCUUUUCCUUUUGCCUCCUUGAGCUCCAAUCUAUAUGUGGGGAUCCUGGGGGUGCAGGUCCACCGACCUCAGCACCAAGGUCUAUUUUGGAGUGAGGGACUCAAUGCCUCCUCCUUGAAGAGGGGCAGCAGUGUUGGGGAGAGUUCUGCCUGUCCCUCUCCUGCCCCCAUUAGGCCUCAGACUCUCUCUCCCCUCCCCUUCACUGAGCCACAGCUCCAUGACGAAGCCACUGGCACCCCAUUGGCCCGCCUAAGAGCAUUUGCCCUUAUUUGGCCAGGCCUGCUCUAGGCCUAAGCAGGGCCUCCACCCCCAGCCCAGCCCCCGCAGGCCUGUCUCUCUCACUUCAUCUUUUUGAGGUUUGGCUUUGGGGCCCAGCGGGCGCCGCUUCAAACGCACUUUCUGGUUGAGUCACUUUUUAACGGCUCCAGUGCUGUGAACUGCUGCUGCUCCUGUUGCUGCUGCUACAGGGGGCCCCCCAGUCUUGGUGGCCAACCUAUCCUCCUCUGUGCUUAAGAGGUUGUAGAGGAAGGGGCUGGGGGACAACUGGACUUUGGAGAGAUUCUGCAGACCACUUGGUUGCCCACUUAGACCUCUCUCCUGGGGGGUCCUUUCCCAGCUCCCUUCUCAGGUUGGGUUUGUGAGCAGAGACAGUUCUCUCAAAAGACCUGUUCUUUUUGGGGGCACUUUCCAAUGUGCUCCCUUGGGAGAACAGAAACAUGGGCUGCAGGCUGUUGGCCCAUUUUCAGGAAGGUGAAACAAGUUUGCUGAGCUUCCGGUUCCUCAUUUCUGAAUUGGGGAUACUAUCAUUUACCUCAGCAUGAUGAUCAUAUGAAAUUCAGACUGAAUGUGUUUAGGAGUCCCCUGCCUUUCCCCAGCUCCGCGUCUAGGGACAUGAGCGUCCUGAUCCAAGAGCUUCAGCAUAGCUCAGUCUCUUCUUCCCACUUCUCCCCUUCUACUUUUCCAGAUGUGCCUGGGAUGCAAGGAAUCCUGUAGGGGACAGUAGGUUGUCAGGAAGGAAUAGGUAACCCUUUGCCCCUUGUUUUCCACCAGAUAAGGGGAGAAUUCUAGAGUCCUUGCUAGCCAGCCUGCCUUGGCUGGUCUUCAGGAGGCCUGUAGCCCUUGAGGGAGCUGGGAAUAUCCAUGGCUGCCCUAUGAAUAGGGUUUUAGAACACAGAUGCUGCCACUUCUUCCUCUCCAAGGUCCCAGCCCUAUUGUUCUUGACUCCUUUGCUUAAUUCCCCGUACCCUGCCUUUGCAAUUUUAUAGAUGAAGAGACAGGCUGGGGGAGGGAGUUGAGGGGCAGAUUAAGGCCCAAAGUUAUACUGUAAAUAGCCACAAGCUAGGGACCAGGCCCCAAGUCUGUUGUCUUCCAAUUUUGUCCUCUUAGUGGCCCUGAUAAUGAGGUAGGGAGUUGGGCUGAUGAGACAUCAUAGUGGGUUUCAGGCAAGGAGAACCAAUUCUCUCUCUUUUCUCUCUCGCUCUCUCACGCACACACACCAGUGUUUAUUCAAAACAGUUAAAACUAGGGCAGAUGCAGCUAUGCAAGAUAAGCUAGUCACCCCUGAAAAGAGGGAGCUUUCAUUUCCCUGCUUGUGUCCCUAGGAGAUCCCACAGAAUACUUCUGGUUUUAUGACCACGCCCAUGGCAGUGGUCAGAGUGGCCUUCUUCCUCCCACUCACACCUCCCUUCCUACCCUGCCCCUUUGCCUUUUCCCAGAUGCUGUGGAAAGAACCCUGAACUUGGUUCUAACUUGCUUUGUGACCUCAGGCUGCUUUCUGUCUCUCUCUGGGCUUGCAACAUGGUUCCCUGACUCAGGGCCAGUUGCCUGAGUUUGCUACUUAAAAGUCUUGGAUCUUAUGAUCUGAAGAGAACUGAGCCAGAACCUGGUCCCAGAGCAAAGUUGUUGCCUGGGGAGGGCUGCUGUGCACUGGAGCUGUACCUUGUCAGAUGAAAUAGAGCAGGAGAGCAUGAAGUUAACCCUAGAGGACCCCUGGGCAGAGUAGGCAGGGCCCGAGGGGAAACAGCUGCUCACUGCCCUUGCCUGGAGGCCUCUCAGCACUCUGGGUGUUCCCAAGGUUCUGAGAUGAAACAGGGGAUCUUCCUAAGUGCUGAGAUGUCCUCUGCUAGGGACAUGCCUUUCUUAGGUUCUUGAGGUACUUCCCUCUCAUUGGAUACCUGUUACCCUUUGGCUGCCCCUCCAGGGAGGUGGGGAAGGGUCCCAACAUUUAGGACUUUUGACUGCAAUUAGUUCCAGCUCCAUUUUGCAAUGUUGGCGGCUCAGUUUCCCUUCUUUGAAACCAGGCCUGCCUCCAACCUUAGCUGACUGAAGGGCGGGCCUCUCUGCUUCUUGACUUCCUGUUUGUGAGUGGUUAGGUCCUGUGGCUUCUCUCUUGUUGUCUCUUCACAAGUCAGGUUAUCUGGGCUGCCAUCUCCUGCCUGCUAAGUGAGGGCCCCAGGCCCAUGCAGCUGGAGAGGAAGUCUUGGCUUUCUUCUUAUUUCUCUUUCUGGGCCUGCUCUUAUUAUAGGAUUAUUCUUUAAAAAGACCAUUUUUCUCCAUGUUUCCUCUUUGCCCAGUCUCUGCUUGUAAACCCUCUUCCACCUAUACUCAGUUCCUUUUCUGAUGGGCCCCCUGUGACUCUGAGUUUGCCACUGCAAUAUUCAAACUGCCCAACUCCCUGGGCCGUGUGAACCCCUUGCUGGACUACUGACUGUACUUGCUAUAAUGUAAAAAGUAGGUGUGUGUAAUGUUCAUAUACGAAUAAACAACCUGUGAAACUCCACAUCAUGUACAGCCACAAGAAUGGAUUCUAAUUAGAAUAAGUUAUAUUCCAUGAGUAUAUGUCAAAAUACACUCUACUGUCAUAUAUAAAAGAAUAAAAUAAAAUAUUUUCAAUAAAG